GUAGGGAAUAUUGGACAAUGGGGGCAACCCUGAUCCAGCGACGCCGCGUGAGUGAUGAAGGCCUUCGGGUCGUAAAGCUCUGUUGCAGGGGAAGAACACAAUGACGGUACCCUGCUAGAAAGGAUCGGCUAACUUCGUGCCAGCAGCCGCGGUAAGACGAGGGAUCCUAGCGUUGUUCGGAAUUAUUGGGCGUAAAGCGGGUGCAGGUGGCUUGGUAAGUCAGAUGUGAAGGCCUGGGGCUUAACCCCAGAAGUGCAUUUGAUACUGCUGAGCUUGAGUGCUGGAGAGGCUAUUAGAAUUCCUGGUGUAGUGGUGAAAUACGUAGAUAUCAGGAGGAAUACCGGAGGCGAAGGCGGAUAGCUGGCCAGACACUGACACUCAGACCCGAAAGCGUGGGGAUCAAACAGGAUUAGAAACCCCUGUAGUCC
rnacentral:rRNA from 1 species